rnacentral:rRNA from 1 species
AGUGAACGCUGGCGGUAGGCCUAACACAUGCAAGUCGAACGGCAGCACAGUAAGAGCUUGCUCUUACGGGUGGCGAGUGGCGGACGGGUGAGGAAUACAUCGGAAUCUACUUUUUCGUGGGGGAUAACGUAGGGAAACUUACGCUAAUACCGCAUACGACCUACGGGUGAAAGCAGGAGAUCUUCGGACCUUGCGCGAUUGAAUGAGCCGAUGUCGGAUUAGCUAGUUGGCGGGGUAAAGGCCCACCAAGGCGACGAUCCGUAGCUGGUCUGAGAGGAUGAUCAGCCACACUGGAACUGAGACACGGUCCAGACUCCUACGGGAGGCAGCAGUGGGGAAUAUUGGACAAUGGGCGAAAGCCUGAUCCAGCCAUGCCGCGUGAGUGAAGAAGGCCUUCGGGUUGUAAAGCCCUUUUGUUGGGAAAGAAAAGCGGCAGGUUAAUCCACCGCUGUUCUGACGGUACCCAAAGAAUAAGCACCGGCUAACUUCGUG